rnacentral:rRNA from 1 species
GACGAACGCUGGCGGCGUGCCUAAUACAUGCAAGUCGAACGCAGUGGGGACGGGUGAGUAACACGUGGGUAACCUCCCAUCAGAGGGGAUAACACUUGGAAACAGGUGCUAAACCGAUACUGAUGGAUGGACCCGCGGUGCAUUAGCUAGUUGGUGAGGUAACGCCUCACCAAGGCCACGAUGCAUAGCCGCCCUGAUAGGGUGAUGGGCCAACCGGGGACUGAGACACGGCCAAGACUCCUACGGGAGGCAGCAGUAGGGAAUCUUCGGAAAUGGACGAAAGUGUGACCGACAAACGCUGGGGGAGUGAAGAAGGUUUGCGGACCUUAAAACCUGGUGGUUAGAGAAGCGGUAUCUAACCAGAAAGCCACGGCUAACUACGUGCCAGCAGCCGCGGUAAUUC